ensembl:lncRNA
UCCCCAAUUAUCCUGUGUUUAUAAGUCCUAGUCCUUUCAGUUUGCAUUUGUUGGUUCAUGAUGUCUGAAUGUCUUCCAAGUGCUCUAUGUUCCCCAUUUGGAUUAUUAAAGACUCUUGUUUCGUGAAUUCCUCAUCUGCUCGUUCCUGGCUUCCUUGUGUAGUGUGACAACUGGUGAAUCAAAGGUAAGUAUUUCUUACAUAUAGUAAAUUCAAUGCAUUUAAAUAAAGAUUUAUUGGUUGAUAUAUUGAGAUUUCGGUUUCUCUCACUGUUUUUCUGGAAAAUCAGAAAAAAGAUGAUUUGAGCUGCAUGGAGAGCUGGACAAUGAUACCACUUCAACUAUCCAGUGACAUGUUCAACACUCUUCAACCACAAGAGGGAGAGUUACAACACAUGCUGCAAAAGAUGAUCAGCAACAUGUGAAAUGGUGUCAACCCACUGAACCAGUUCCAGGAAAAAAUGAGACCGAACUAUAAGCUCUGACUAUCAGCUUUAUCGCCGAAUCACAGGUAAGUCAUAUACUGGAAGAUUUCUCCAUGUUCCAAUCUUCCAAAAUGUUUAGGCUAUGUAAAGAUCAUUAAAAAAAAAAAUGUGAUGCACACAAAAUUUCACAAAUUCUCUGAAGUAGUACAUGUACUGUGCAAGACAUGAAUGAGCUCACUCAUUGCUUUAAGCAUUUGUUGAAUUAGAAUUUAAGCACAGUACUUUCACUUUAAGUAUGCAUUAUCAUAAUUGUUUUUGUAUUAUAUCAAUGCACUGAUUUUGCUUUCUUUUUUUUCCCCCCAGAUUUCUGGUUUUGUGAUGCUCCUUGUCUUGGGCUUUAUAUUAUUAGUGGUUGUUCUUUGUGUCUACCGCUGCACUGGUGAAGAGCCACCGCAAACAAGUAUAUGAUAUAGAUAUAAAUGUGUAUGUGUAAUACAAACAAAUUAAUUAUCUAGAUGGAUUUACAGCUCUUCCUUGUUUCAUCUUGUUAAAUUGUAUUAAUGUUUUUUUUUGUUUGUUUUUUUUUUAAUUUACCUGUUGGUAAAGAAGAAAUAGAAAUGGUAUAUUUCUGCUUCAAAUAAAUCACUUAAUCCACUUCA